rnacentral:tRNA from 1 species
GGAGGUGUAGCUCAGUGGUAGAGCGUGUGCUUAGCAUGCAUGAGGUCCUGGGUUCAAUCCCCAGUCCCUCCA